UACAGAGGGGGCGAGCGUUGUUCGGAAUUACUGGGCGUAAAGGGCGCGUAGGCGGCCAACUAAGUCGGACGUGAAAUCCCAAGGCUCAACCUUGGAACUGCGUCCGAUACUGGAUGGCUUGAAUCCGGGAGAGGGAUGUGGAAUUCCAGGUGUAGCGGUGAAAUGCGUAGAUAUCUGGAGGAACACCGGUGGCGAAGGCGGCAUCCUGGACCGGUAUUGACGCUAAGGCGCGAAAGCCAGGGGAGCAAACGGG
rnacentral:rRNA from 1 species